rnacentral:rRNA from 1 species
CCAUUAGCUAGUUGGAGAGGUAACGGCUCACCAAGGCGAUGAUGGGUAGCCGGCCUGAGAGGGUGAUCGGCCACAAGGGGACUGAGACACGGCCCUUACUCCUACGGGAGGCAGCAGUGGGGAAUAUUGGACAAUGGACCAAGAGUCUGAUCCAGCAAUUCUGUGUGCACGAUGAAGUUUUUCGGAAUGUAAAGUGCUUUCAGUUGGGAAGAAAUAAAUGACGGUACCGACAGAAGAAGCGACGGCUAAAUACGUGCCAGCAGCCGCGGUAAUACGUAUGUCACAAGCGUUAUCCGGAUUUAUUGGGCGUAAAGCGCGUCUAGGUGGUUAUGUAAGUCUGAUGUGAAAAUGCAGGGCUCAACUCUGUAUUGCGUUGGAAACUGUAUAACUAGAGUACUGGAGAGGUAAGCGGAACUACAAGUGUAGAGGUGAAAUUCGUAGAUAUUUGUAGGAAUGCCGAUGGGGAAGCCAGCUUACUGGACAGAUACUGACGCUGAAGCGCGAAAGCGUGGGUAGCAAACAGGAUUAGAUACCCUGGUAGUCCACGCCGUAAACGAUGAUUACUAGGUGUUGGGGGUCGAACCUCAGCGCCCAAGCAAACGCGAUAAGUAAUCCGCCUGGGG